GACAGAGGUGCCGAGCGUUAGGCGGAAUCACUGGGCUUAAAGCGUGUGUAGGCGGAGUUCUAAGUACCUUGUGAAAUCCCACGGCUUAACCGUGGAACUGCUUGGUAUACUGGUUCUCUUGGGCUAUCUAGGGGCUACUGGAACAAACGGUGGAGCGGUGAAAUGCGUAGAUAUCGUUUGGAACGCCAAUGGUGAAAACAAGUAGCUGGGGAUGUGCCGACGCUGAGACACGAAAGCCAGGGGAGCGAACGGG
rnacentral:rRNA from 1 species